rnacentral:rRNA from 1 species
UGGGGAAUAUUGGACAAUGGGCGAAAGCCUUAUCCAGCCAUGCCGCGUGUGUGAAGAAGGUCUUCGGAUUGUAAAGCACUUUAAGUUGGGAGGAAGGGCAGUAAGCGAAUACCUUGCUGUUUUGACGUUACCGACAGAAUAAGCACCGGCUAACUCUGUGCCAGCAGCCGCGGUAAUACAGAGGGUGCAAGCGUUAAUCGGAAUUACUGGGCGUAAAGCGCGCGUAGGUGGUUCGUUAAGUUGAAUGUGAAAGCCCCGGGCUCAACCUGGGAACUGCAUCCAAAACUGGCGAGCUAGAGUAGGGCAGAGGGUGGUGGAAUUUCCUGUGUAGCGGUGAAAUGCGUAGAUAUAGGAAGGAACACCAGUGGCGAAGGCGACCACCUGGGCUCAUACUGACACUGAGGUGCGAAAGCGUGGGGAGCAAACAGG